AGCAGCCGCGGUAAUUCCAGCUCCAAUAGCGUAUAUUAAAGUUGUUGCAGUUAAAAAGCUCGUAGUUGAAUUUCGGGGUCAGUAGGCUGGUCGUGCCACAGGUAUGUACUGGUCUUACUGAUUCCUCCUUCCUGAUGAACCGUAAUGCCAUUAAUUUGGUGUUGCGGGGAAUCUGGACUGUUACUUUGAAAAAAUUAGAGUGUUUAAAGCAGGCUAACGCUUGAAUACAUUAGCAUGGAAUAAUGAAAUAGGACGAUCGAUCCUAUUUUGUUGGUUUCUAGGAUUGACGUAAUGAUUAAUAGGGAUAGUUGGGGGCAUUAGUAUUCAAUUGUCAGAGGUGAAAUUCUUGGAUUUAUUGAAGACUAACUACUGCGAAAGCAUUUGCCAAGGAUGUUUUCAUUAAUCAAGAACGAAAGUUAGGGGAUCGAAGACGAUCAGAUACCGUCGUAGCCUUAACCAUAAACUAUGCCGACUAGGGAUCGGAUGAUGUAAUUUUUAAUGA
rnacentral:rRNA from 1 species